rnacentral:rRNA from 1 species
UAAAGCGUGCGCAGGCGGUUAUGUAAGACAGAUGUGAAAUCCCCGGGCUCAACCUGGGAAUGCAUUAGUGACUGCAUAGCUGGAGUACGGCAGAGGGGGAUGGAAUUCCGCGUGUAGCAGUGAAAUGCGUAGAUAUGCGGAGGAACACCGAUGGCGAAGGCAAUCCCCUGGGCCUGUACUGACGCUCAUGCACGAAAGCGUGGGGAGCAAACAGGAUUAGAUACCCCUGU